CAAAUACUCCCUCCGUCCAGAAAUACUUAUCAUCAAAAUGGAUAACAGGAAAUGUAUCUAGACAUAUUUUAGUUUUCGAUACAUCUCUUUUUAUCCAUUUUGAUGACAAGUAUUUUCGGACCGAGGGAGUAGAAA
rfam:Triticum urartu cultivar G1812 contig802547, whole genome shotgun sequence.